UACCUCCCAGCUCCCCACCUAUGGGAGAUCUUCUCCCCCAUAAUUGCAGAUAAUAUAACACAAGCGCUCAUGUUCCUCUCGCACUUCAUCAGAGACAUACACUAGCCACUUCACUCCGACAAAGGAGGGAACACCGUCGACUUCCACUGGAACCUGGAUGCUAGGGCAUGCUCUGUUUUGUUCACUAAUUGCCCGGUUUGGAACGCCAGCAUCAUCUAGCCGACUAA